UGGAAAGUGAGCAUGCCCAGGAAGAGGGACUCCAGCUAGAGAAGACGCUGCCCACCUAAUGGCCAGGCACUGGGGAAGGGCCAUGGGAGGACACAGUGAGAAUGUGGCCGUCUGCAAACCAGCCAGAAGCUCCUCUGAAACUGAAUCAGCCGGUACCUUGAUCUUGGACAUGUAGCCUCCAGAGCGGUGAAAAGUAAAUAUCUGUGGCCGAAGCCUGGAGCCCGAAGUAUCCUGCUAUGCAGCCUCAGUAGCUGAUACCUCCAGAUGAGGGGGCUCACAUGGCUAAAAUUCUUCUCCAAACUCAGAGUUGGGUGCACAUCACUAAAAAUCACUGGUUGCUUCUAGUUCCCAAGGCCCAUCCUGUGUGAACCCUUCCUGGCUCUGACCUGCCCAGGUGGGGAGAGGUGAUUUUGUUGUGGUCAUCCAUAAGGCUCCUGCAAGGCCACAGCAAGAGGGACAGCCUAAAGACAACCCCCCUGUGGGGAAGCUCCUUGCCCUGCUGUACCUAUUGAGCUGGGCCUUCUUGUCACCUCUGCUGACCACCUCUGGUUCUGAACAGUGGUGGGAAGUGACAGGGGUCUGUGGAAUCCAUAGCAGCUGCUGGAGUAGAAAACCUUAUAGUCCAUGAUGAUGUCUCCUGCCCCAAUUUGGUCACCAGCAGCUGGGGCUGAGGCCAGGAGACAGCAGGAACCAGCCCUUCAUUCCUGAUGAGUCCAGAGUCUGAGGGUUUCUUCUGAGCAGAGCAGAGAAGGCAAGUGCAGAUGUGCAGGCUGAGGGCCAUUCUGGAAGUUCACAGCCCUGCCUGUGGCUGCAGCCCUAGGGACCAGCGUGGAGAAGGGCCUGGGGCAAAGGAGGUGGGGCGCCCCUUCUCGGUCUCCUAGGUGCUGGCCGCCAGGGCUGGGGCAGUGUGACCAUUAUCUCCUUGGACACUCACAAAGCACAGCUCUGUGAGCGGUGGGAGCCCGCUGUGCCAAGGGGGAGAUGGGGCGUGGAGGGGUCCUUUACCUGUGCCUGCUGUCAGGGUCAAGGCCACAGCCUGGAAGAGCUGCAGGCCCCUGGAGUUUUCUGGUCUAGCCAGCAUCCGACUGAAGGGGGAGCGGUCGAAGUUGGGGUGGUCAGGAGCAGAACAGGACCUGCCUCUGUUGGGACCCUCCUUUUUCUAGAACAUUCAACAUCACUUUUGAUGUAGGAAUUCGUCUCCUUCCUUAGACAAGGAGCAGCUGGAAGUCCUGCAGGGCAAUCUGAGGGAGGGCCCUGACUUGGCCUGGAGCUCCGCAGCCUGGGUGUCCCUGAAGACUUUGCCUGUGCCCAUCCUCCUGUGGCUGUGGACACAGGCACCGUGCACCGGCAGCCCUGGCUGCCCGCUGCCUUCUGUCCUCAGGGCUGUGACUCUCCGCCCAGCCUUGCCUUCUCAACCCUGGACAGAGCGGUCACCCUGUCCCUACUUCGGGAGAGAACUGGCACCCACUGAGCCGGCCUGCUCACCUGUGAGCUGCAGCCACAGCCGCACCCAUUCCAAUCCUACGAAGAACUAACUUGUGAAUGUCUCUAUAUUGAUUUAGAAGCUAAACUUACGGGACUUCAGGGCUGCUUUGGUUUGGAAGUAGAUGUGGAGACAAAGAUUUUAGCUUGUACCUGGGGAGACACCCUCGUGGAGACUGGUAGGAAGUAAGGCAGGCGAGGCAGGUUAGGGUCUGGGCCACGGAACAGGGCCUUUGACUAGAGGGCUUGAAACAGAGAAUCCCUCUCACAAUCCUGGAGCUGGCCGUCUGGAGUCAAGGUUGGACGGCCCUGCUCCCUCCGAGGGACUGCCCAGGGGGCCGUGUUCCAGCCCCUCCUGGAUGGUUGGCAGCCUCUGGCGAUCCUUGGCUUGUAGCUGUGACCUUUGACUGUCCAUCUUCAUGUGACGUCUCCCUGGGUCUCUUCACACGGUCUUCUCUCUCUGUUUGUCUGUCUCUGGGUUCAAAUUUCCCUUUUUUAUAGUGACAUCAGUCAUGUCUGAUUAGGGUCCUAAAGACGUCAUCCUAACCGGAUCCCCUCUGUAAAGACCCCACCUGGGGUACUGGAGGCUAGGACUCCGAUGUGUCAUUUUGGGGAACACAACCCAACACCUAACAGAAGGGGAGGAGGCUGAUGACGGCGGGUCAUCCCCAGCUUUGUGCCUAUCCUGCCAAUACCUCCAGAGAGCAAUGGAGACUGCACUGGUCAUCCCAGCAAGGACAAGCAGCUGGGUAUUUCUUGGCUCCAGAACCCUUUUGCCCCCUGCGUGCCCACCAGGGAGCUGACCUCUGUACUCAGCCCUCAGUGUGCAGAGUGCAGAGCCUCCUGGGUAAGGGCCAGCAGGGCCUCCCCUGGUGCCGCAGUCCGGCUGCAGCAAAAUAACCCGGGGGGGGGGGGUGACGAAGAACUUGUGUAGAUUGAUACAGCAGGAGUGGGAGCCGUUUAUUAUAGGACAGGAGCGGUAUAUAUACAUUCCACAGAGCUUAUCUAAUUAGCAUAAACUCGAUACAGCAGUCAACCAAUAAGGAAUCUGCACACUUCAUGGCUCGCUGGCCUUACUUCACAAACCACUCCCUCUGGCAAAAUGCCAGGCGCCAUCCAGACUUGUUUACAGACUCUAACAUUUGCCAGGCGCCAUCCUGACUUGUUUACAGACUCUAACACUGGGCCACAUUUGUGCCCAGGAAGAUGGAGUUGCCCGCACCCUGGAGUGUUCAGGGCACCUGAAAGAAAAUGCUUCUGAAAUAGCAGAUUUACUGUUCCUCUGAUGUAUUCAGUGGGCUGUAUUACAUAAAUUUUUAUCACGUGUGAAAUAUAAUACUCAAUGAACUAUACUAUAUAGUGUAUAA